GAUGAACGCUGGCGGCGUGCCUAAUACAUGCAAGUCGAGCGAACAGACGAGGAGCUUGCUCCUCUGACGUUAGCGGCGGACGGGUGAGUAACUCGUGGAUAACCUACCUAUAAGACUGGGAUAACUUCGGGAAACCGGAGCUAAUACCGGAUAAUAUAUUGAACCGCAUGGUUCAAUAGUGAAAGACGGUUUUGCUGUCACUUAUAGAUGGAUCCGCGCCGCAUUAGCUAGUUGGUAAGGUAACGGCUUACCAAGGCGACGAUGCGUAGCCGACCUGAGAGGGUGAUCGGCCACACUGGAACUGAGACACGGUCCAGACUCCUACGGGAGGCAGCAGUAGGGAAUCUUCCGCAAUGGGCGAAAGCCUGACGGAGCAACGCCGCGUGAGUGAUGAAGGUCUUCGGAUCGUAAAACUCUGUUAUUAGGGAAGAACAAAUGUGUAAGUAACUAUGCACGUCUUGACGGUACCUAAUCAGAAAGCCACGGCUAACUACGUG
rnacentral:rRNA from 1 species